GAGUAAACAGCCGAAAUCUAGGAGCCGAUCCAAAGUAAAACAAACUUAUUAGUGACAAUUACUUAUCUACUUACUCCCAGGAAUAAUGUAAACAGCCGAAAUCUAGAAGCCGAUCCAGAGUAAAACAAACUUACGAGUGACAAUCACUUAUCUACUUACUCCCAGGAAUAACGUAAACACCCGAAAUCUAGAAGUCGAUUCAGAGUGAAACGAACUUACGAUAAAUAAAUACAUACCUACUUACUCCCACUGAUCACUGUGCGGCGACUUUGUGAUAUAAAUCACAGGUGUGUGACGAGAUCGCUAUAUAUAUCAUCGGAUAUUACACGAGCACGGAUUAAUACAACCGUCGUGACUGUAUCUCUCGACAGGCGACACGGCGCACUCAAGUCCGAUGGUGGCGGUGUAACAGGCAAAUCAUACCCCCGGAAAAUAUUACCGAUGGGGAAGUAAGA